CAUUCAGGAAGCCUUGACAAGGUCCCUCACCAAAGGCUCUUAAGCAAAGUAAGCAGUCAUGGAGUAAGAUGGAAGGUCCUUUCAUGGAUCAGUAACUAGUUAAAAAACAGGAGACAAAGGGUAGGAAUAAAUGGUCAGCUUUCAUAAUGGGGAGAGGUAAAUUGCAGGGUCUCCCAAGGUUCUGUACUGGGACCUGUACUGUUGAACAUAUUUAUAAAUGAUCUGGAAAAUGGAAUAAACAGUAGGUGACAG